CUCAGUCAAAAGUUCAGUUCACCCUCGAUCUUAAUAAAUAGACGUAGAGAGGUAGGUGCAGGGCUACCAUUGCGAUUUCCAGUACGCCGGGUUCCUUCUCGGUGCUACCUAGCUUGGUUUUGCCCUCUCUCAAAGACACCUCGAUUCAGAAAGAAUGUUGCCUAACGCUCGCUAUCUGGUACGCUUGCUUACUAUCCUGUUCGUGAUCUGCUUCUGCUUGCUUUCAUGUUCGUCUCCCGCAAGCGGCAGAAGCAAUCCAUCCUGUACCACACCUUGUAAGUAUAAGGUUUUGAGCUUGUAGUAAGUCUCUGCAUAGGUGUCUAGUAAGUAGUAACUCAUUAGCAGUAGUAGAUGAUUAUCUUGGCAUUCUGCUCUUCUCUCGUGAGUUUUUAUUUGUUCAUUGCCUGAUAUUUUUGCAAAUUGUGACACUCGACCCGAGUGCCCCCCCAGGGUCACACCCUCCGAACUGCCCGACGUACUGCAGAUAGGAUUACCAAGGGCACUGGCUCUACACAGUUAAUGGAGCGUCACCAUAUGCGGAGUCCUCUAACGCAGCAUGAAGUCCUCUAUGUACCUAUAUAUGUAGUGUGUUUAUCACCCUAUACAGCAACUAUUUAGUUUCUACAAUUGUAAUCUUUUUUAUCGAGUUUAUAACACGACUUUUUAAAGGGAUUAUUAUUUUAUAUAGGCAGUGCCAUGUACCAGCAAAUAAAGCCGAACUUUGCUCUGAAAGACUCAGCUUCCUUCGGAUAUCAAAUUCUGCACUCGAGCUCGUGUGAUCUUCAUGAACAGUAAAAUACAAAAAUAUUAGAAAAAAUCAGAAAGUCUCAAUAUUUUGCAUGGGAGAGUUUGAGUGCAUGAGAUCCGCGCCAAUUUCAGCACGUUCGGACAUCUGAGUAGCUCUAAAAGAAAAACCGGGUCCGAACAAUGCAUCGACAGUAAAAUUCUUCACAUCCCCAUUUUUUUCGGUAGCUACUCAGAUGUCUAAACAUGUUGAAAACUGG
rnacentral:lncRNA from 1 species